rnacentral:rRNA from 1 species
CAGUAGCCGCGGUAAUACGAAGGGUGCAAGCGUUAAUCGGAAUUACUGGGCGUAAAGCGUGCGUAGGCGGUUUGUUAAGUCUGUUGUGAAAUCCCCGGGCUCAACCUGGGAAUGGCAAUGGAUACUGGCAAGCUAGAGUGUGUCAGAGGAUGGUGGAACUCCCGGCGUAGCGGUGAAAUGCGUAGAGAUCGGGAGGAACAUCAGUGGCGAAGGCGGCCAUCUGGGACAACACUGACGCUGAGGCACGAAAGCGUGGGGAGCAAACAGGAUUAGAUACCCCGGUAGUCCCUGUCUCUUAUAC